AACGAACGCUGGCGGCAUGCCUAACACAUGCAAGUCGAACGAGACCUUCGGGUCUAGUGGCGCACGGGUGCGUAACGCGUGGGAAUCUGCCCUUGGGUUCGGAAUAACAGUUAGAAAUGACUGCUAAUACCGGAUAAUGUCUUCGGACCAAAGAUUUAUCGCCCAGGGAUGAGCCCGCGUAGGAUUAGCUAGUUGGUGAGGUAAAGGCUCACCAAGGCGACGAUCCUUAGCUGGUCUGAGAGGAUGAUCAGCCACACUGGGACUGAGACACGGCCCAGACUCCUACGGGAGGCGAGC
rnacentral:rRNA from 1 species